GACACGACUCUCGGCAACGGAUAUCUCGGCUCUCGCAUCGAUGAAGAACGUAGCGAAAUGCGAUACCUGGUGUGAAUUGCAGAAUCCCGCGAACCAUCGAGUCUUUGAACGCAAGUUGCGCUCGAGGCCACCCGGUCGAGGGCACGCCUGCCUGGGCGUCACGC
rnacentral:rRNA from 1 species